UAGUACGAAUGGUCCAGAGUGGACGAACCUCCGGUGUACCUGUUGUGACGCCAGUUGCAUCGCCGGGUAGCUAUGUUCGGAUGGGUUAACCGCUGAAAGCGUCUAAGCUGGAAGUCUAACCCAGGAUACGAUUUCCCUAGGACUUUCUGUCCUCUAAACAGCCGUUCGAGACUAGGACGUUGAUAGGUUGGAUGUGGAAGCAUAGUGAUAUGUGAAGCUGACCAGUACUAAUUGCUCGUGGGGCUUGACUAUACAAC
rnacentral:rRNA from 1 species